CAGCGGAGGCGCUGGGCCGAGAAUGAGCUGAACCCUCCUCAGGCAAUAAUGCGUCUGGCCUGUGGCCCCACGGCCUCAGAACUGCUCUUUGGAACCCUUUCUCACUGCUGUUCACACAAAGGCAAUUCUUUAAGGAGAACUUAUAGUUUUUCAACUUGGACCCUAUUGGGUCUGAUGGAGGAACGCGGGCAACACAUUCUGAAAUUGGUCUAGUAUUGAGCAUGAAUAGACAGCCGAAUAGAAGAAGAACCAGGGGCCAGGUUGAAAGAUCCUGGACUUCCCCUUUAACUCUUUCACUGCAGCCAUCUUUUUUGUUUGAAAUAAUGAGUGCGGAAAGAAAGAUCGGUAGAAAGAUCGGUCACCCACAAAUGGCUCAUCGGUGAGCUAGAACGUUUUCUGACGUGGGUCUGACUAUGUUACAAUCACCUCCGCCUUUGCAAUGACGAGGUGGAUUGAGUGGUAUUGAUAUUAUCACAUGAUUAUUAAUAAUUUUGAACAAAGAGGGAUGGGCUAUAAUAACCUCACUUUGGUAAUAACCAGGCCGUGGUUCGGCCGAUGUGUAGGUAUAAUAAACAAUGACUAGGCUGACAUAAAGCAAAGAAAUUGUGAGGAAGAAGAGGAAUUUAUGGAAUUUAUUAAGUGAACACUAUGGGCCCACUUUAUUAAUUAUUUACUUUAUAUGGGUAGGACAAAUAUUGAAUUCAUGAAAUGAAUGAAUGAAUUCAUGGGUGUGAAUGUAUUAGUGGCCCCUCAGGCCUAUAUAAUGUGAUAUUAUAAUUAUCUCAUCUGAUGCGUUUAUUAGAUUGUUGAGGUAUUAUGAGGGAAAUAUUACUAUCAAUAAUAGGCCUACAAAUUGUUUUCACAGUUAAUCAGAAUCCAGAGAAGCCAAAAGGGAAAUAAAAGUGGAGUCUUUUCCUCCUAGUCUGCUCCCAAUGGAGGAUUGGAUUAUGUUUUCAUCUCUACCUCAGAACCAUUUGUCCGCCAGGCCUUUUGGCCGACUUGUAGUCACUGUGGUGUGCUUUUAAUAUGAAAAGUAAUGUUUUCACUACCUCACCUAUCCAGCUCCUGCCAGUGUGCCUGUCCAGCACAGAGUCUACCUUAAAGAUCUCCUCACCAUCCUGAAAACCUUUAAGCUCUGUUCUGAAUUGCAUGUAGCUUAAAAGAACAUCCAGUCCCAUCCAGGAGGGAAAACCAUGAACAACACAGAGCCGUUUGGGGGAAGCAGCAUGCAACGUGUGGAGACAUCAGAGGUGCAGACUGUAUAUUUAGUGCAGAGCAAAUUCAGCGUUGCGUCGACUUCACAGCAGAUGUUUCUAGUCAAAAUAAAAGGAUGCAAUGAAUAACUCCCAACAAUGUGAUAUUGUAAUGCGGGAGGGGGGGAGUCUAUAUGCUAGACAAAUAUUUCGCAUUUUCAAAUGAAGAUGGUGAAACGUUAACACCGCAAGACAACACCAAACUAAGUGUAAUUAAGAACAUUUGAAUAAAUCAGUAAAAUGUGCAUUGUGGUAUGCUUGAUUGCAAUAAUGACACUGACGCUUGUUUUUUACCCCCUGUGUAUGUGUGUGUGUGUGUGUGUGUGUGUGUGUGUGUGUGUGUGUGCGAAAGUGUGCCCACUGCCAGUCAUCUUAACCUCAAGCAGUUUGUUGCUGACUGUAUGUCACCUAGCAAAGUGUUUUAAAGAUGUGCGUGUGUGUGUACAUGUGUGUGCGUGCAUGUGCAGACUCAAUCCUGAUCAUGGUGUCGUCAUGGAGACAGAAUGGUGUUCCUAUCAUUACUGUCCCUGCUCUACGCUUUUACAACAGGUGAAGGGGUAAACACACACCCACAAACACUGACUGGAUGUACGUUACUUACUCCUAAAAUGCACUUAUUACUUAUUGUACUUACUUAUUGGGAUUAGAUUUAAUGGUUGUUUCUUAUUUAAAACGGUUAAUUGUUAAAGUAAUAGUAAAGUAUAUCUAUCCUCUAUUUCUUCAUGAAUGUUUUUUCUUUUUUUAAUGCAAGUCUGACACUCUCAUCCACAAAGUUGUGACGGCACGUUAUUGUAUGAGAGUACAAUUAUUUAAUAUCAUACCGAGACACAGGGAAUUUAAAAGUAAUCCACACAAAUCAUAAUUUCUCUUGUGCACAAAUUGGUGGUUUUCCCAACUCCUUGUCCAUGAAAUAGCCCAAAAUAAUAUGCAAGAACUGCCAGCAAACUUGAUAAAUGCCAACUAUCACUGCCAAAGACUUCAGCUCAUAACCGCCGAACUCUUCCUGCUGCAAAAUGCUUCUCUGCCCACGUCCCCGGAGCCUUCCAUUUAUGUAAUAUUUACAAGAAGAAUGUUUUCACACACAUAUAAUAUAAAUGAGAAUCUGAAGGAUCUAACUGAUACCGAAAUACAAUUAAUGUUUCAUACACACAUUUCUCCAGGGGAAAUCCCUCAAUAUAGAACCAAACAGGAGUGCUGCAAGAAUAUGGUGUUGUGCACAUCUCUCUCGAAUUUCUGAGAAACCAAUGAACUGAUUUGGUAAAUGCCGGCCUCCCCUCCAUCUGACCAGUGUGUGCGGGAUGGCUAGAAGGAAGGUGCAUUGGGGGUGUGGGGGUGCUAGGGCACGU
ensembl:lncRNA